AGCAGCCGCGGUAAUUCCAGCUCCAAUAGCGUAUAUUAAAGUUGUUGCAGUUAAAAAGCUCGUAGUUGAAUUUCGGGAUUUGCACAUCGGUCGUGCCUUAAGGGGUAUGAACUGGUGUAGUGAAUUUCUCACCUUCUGGAGAACCGUGAUGUCCUUAAUUGGGUGCCACGAGGAACCAGGACCUUUACUUUGAAAAAAUUAGAGUGUUUAAAGCAGGCAUUUUUGCUUGAAUACAUUAGCAUGGAAUAAUAAAAUAGGACGGCAUGGUUCUAUUUUGUUGGUUUCUAGGACCACCGUAAUGAUUAAUAGGGAUAGUUGGGGGCAUUAGUAUUCAAUUGUCAGAGGUGAAAUUCUUGGAUUUAUUGAAGACUAACUACUGCGAAAGCAUUUGCCAAGGAUGUUUUCAUUAAUCAAGAACGAAAGUUAGGGGAUCGAAGACGAUCAGAUACCGUCGUAGUCUUAACCAUAAACUAUGCCGACUAGGAAUCAGACGAUGUUAAUUUUUUAAUGACUCGUUUGGCACCUUACG
rnacentral:rRNA from 1 species